UGGGGAAUAUUGGACAAUGGGCGCAAGCCUGAUCCAGCCAUGCCGCGUGGGUGAUGAAGGCCUUAGGGUUGUAAAGCCCUUUCGGCGGGGAAGAUAAUGACGGUACCCGCAGAAGAAGCCCCGGCUAACUACGUGCCAGCAGCCGCGGUAAUACGUAGGGGGCAAGCGUUGUCCGGAUUUACUGGGUGUAAAGGGCGCGCAGGCGGGAUAAAAAGUCAGUGGUGAAAUCCUACAGCUUAACUGUAGAACUGCCUUUGAUACUUUUAUUCUUGAGUUCGGGAGAGAGAGACGGAAUUCCAGGUGUAGUGGUGAAAUACGUAGAUAUCUGGAAGAACACCAGUUGCGAAGGCGGUCUCUUGGUCCGACACUGACGCUGAGGCGCGAAAGCGUGGGGAGCAAACA
rnacentral:rRNA from 1 species